CAACCUAUAGAUUUACAGCUUCUUUAAGGCACUAACAGGAAAGAGGAACUCCACUUGUGUGACACCACAGCCAUAAGGAAUGGACACCCCUGGGGGAAAAGGAACUAAAGGAACUGCAGAGGUGUCACUCCAACAACUGAUCAUCACAGUUGCUACAGUGGCAAGGCAAUGAGGAGAUAAAUCAGAUACUUGCAGUGCAAGACAGUUUAAAUCCUGACCCGGAGCGCUCGAGCAACUUUGUGCAUCCCCUCAGGAUGGACAGUGUGGAUAACGUUCCUGAGUGGAGGAACCACCACAGAACCUGCUGUAUUUGUUUCAAGAUUUUCCAGCUGAUGAGACUAAGAGCCUGUGUGAAACACAACCAGGACACAGCACUCACCAAAAGCAUUGCUGCACAACCCCCUCAGAGCGAGGGACCAAGAGCCUGACCCAACGCUCAGCAGACCUGGGAGCUGUGUGUAACACGGAGUUUUCCUUAUCUCUUCCAGGAACAGCACAGUAGAAGGGAAGUGGAAAGUAAAUCCCCAUUUGCUAAUCUGGUAAAUGUUAUAAAAAAGUGAAAAAAAAAAAAUAAAAAUCCUGAU